CAGUAAAUAGACCACUUCUUACUUUAAAGAUGUAGAAAAGCACAGAAAAGGGGCUGGAAGAGAGGGGCAGUGAAGGUCCCGGGUCAGGACUGCAGCCAAGAAGCUUUCUGAUGAUGCUGAGACACCAAGGGGCCCUGGGUGUCUGGGCAUUUGGGGAAGAAGCCGAACAUGAGUGUCAGACAGCACUGAAGACCCUGAGCCUUUUUCCAGAGACUCUGCUAGGUGCUGGGGGUAUUGGAAAUGAAGAAUGGACCUGUGUUUAA
rnacentral:lncRNA from 1 species